GAAUCCAAUGGGAACCUUUGAUUCUUAUCAACUGUGGCUGUCAGGAAUAAAUUAACUGUGGACCACACAGACUAUCAGAAGUGUCACCCCUCAGGAAGAUUAUUUUACACAGCAAGAGCUGAUACGUAUCUUUUGGUCAGAGUAACAACAACUCAGAAUAAGAAUACAGGUAGGCCUACAUAGUAAUCAAGACAAAAUGUGAAAACUGCAGACCAUAAUCCUAUUUCACAAUAAAAGUGAUAAAUGUGUUCACCGUGUUGGAGGCUAGAAUGAGCUCCAGGUGGAGGAGCUCAAGAGAGAGAAUGCAGGUGAGCUGCUUAAAUCAUUAUUGAAAGUCAAGAUGCUGCUAUCAGCAUCAAACUGACUGCAGUGUCACUAUAUUGUGUGGUUGAAAAGCAGUAUGUCAGUGAGGAAAAUAUUUUACAAACAAAAGAUGCAGUUACAUUUCUCAGAGACUGCACAUCAGUGACGUUUUCAAUAUGCACAUCUUCCACAUUUAUACAGACUGACCAAGGGUGGCGUUUUCAGUUGGUCUUACUGAUGCAGGAUCAGUUGGACCCUUUGAUACUGAAAUCGCACUUAGGAUAAGUAAAGUCUUCACCAAUGUCGGCCAGGCCUACAACCCAACUACAGGUAUCUUCACAGCCCCAGUCAGAGGAGCCUACUACUUCAGAUUCACCUUGUGGGACAACCAUAGUUCAGCUUGGAUGGGUGCUAAUCUUUAUCACAAUGACAAGAGAAUCAUGUACAGUUUAGACGGCAAUGACAGCAUUGGAUAUGUCACUGUGUCUAAUGCUUUAAUUCUUCAACUAGAAAAGGGGGGCGUGAUCUACACGACUCUCUAGUCAGACUACGUUGUUGCAGAUGAGAGUGACAAUCCCACCUUUGAUGGUUUUCUGCUUUUCCCUCUGUGAAUGCAGCUGUAAAGUACCCACAGUUAAUAUUACACAGUUUCAACAUUACUAUGUUAAAAAAUAUAAGCAUUUAUAAAAUCAAAAUGACUGUUCUGUGUUUUUGUCUGGUUAGAUGAAGAAGACUUAACAAGUCAUAUAACAUUCUCACCUAAACCAUAAAAGAAAUACAUUUUAUAAAGAAGUUAACUUUAACUGUUAAACCCAUGUUAGUGAAUGUAUCACAUCUUGCCUGGACUUUGUUUGUUUUUCUGGACUUUUUGUGUUCUUUGGGGUUUCCUGUGUUUCACUUCUGUUGUCAGUCCUUCUGGUCAUAUGAUUUUGCUUGUUAUUAUUUGGGUGGUGGGUUAGAGGACUGCAUUAUUUAGUUUAUAGUGUUGUGUACUUAAGCUUAUGUAAUUCUGGGAUGGUUUAAUUUAUGUUGGGUUGUGAUUUAGAGUAUUGUAUUUUCUGGGUUUUGGUUUUCUGUUGCUCUGUGUUUCCUUGUGUGUUCAUGUACUCUUCCACACUUGCCCUGCAUUAGUCCUGCCCUGCUCUAUUUGCCCCACACCUGCCCUGUUAGCCUCAUCAGCCCUGCCCUGCUCCCUGUGUUUCCUGAGCCAAUCGGCUCUCUGUCUGUUCACUCCCCUCUCCUGAGUUCUCCACCCAUCUCCCCACCUGCACCUCAUCUCCUCGUUAGUUCAGUUACUUUGUAAGUCCUGGUUUUCUGUUCAGUAUUUGUUGGAUCAUUUGUUUUGCCCUGUUCAGCUUUUUCUGUGUUGCCCUGUUCUGUCCUUUACUGCUUUGAGAAUAAAGAAGAUCUUCGUCAA